rnacentral:rRNA from 1 species
GUCUACGGCCAUACCACCCUGAACACGCCUGAUCUCGUCUGAUCUCAGAAGCUAAGCAGGGUCGGGCCUGGUUAGUACUUGGAUGAGAGACUGGUAACACUUGCAAUGUAUUUA